AAACCACCAGGAUUCCUCAGUAACGGCGAGUGAAGCGGCAAAAGCUCAAAUUUGAAAUCUGGCACCUUCGGUGUCCGAGUUGUAAUUUGAAGAAGGUAACUUUGGAGUUGGCUCUUGUCUAUGUUCCUUGGAACAGGACGUCACAGAGGGUGAGAAUCCCGUGCGAUGAGAUGUCCAACUCUAUGUAAAGUGCUUUCGAAGAGUCGAGUUGUUUGGGAAUGCAGCUCUAAGUGGGUGGUAAAUUCCAUCUAAAGCUAAAUAUUGGCGAGAGACCGAUAGCGAACAAGUACAGUGAUGGAAAGAUGAAAAGAACUUUGAAAAGAGAGUGAAAAAGUACGUGAAAUUGUUGAAAGGGAAGGGCUUGAGAUCAGACUUGGUAUUUUGCAAGCCUUACCUUCGUGGUGGGGUCCCCUGCAGUUUACUGGGCCAGCAUCGGUUUGGAUGGUAGGAUAAUGACUUGGGAAUGUGGCUUUGCUUCGGUAAAGUGUUAUAGCCCUUGUUGAUACUACCUGUCUAGACCGAGGACUGCGUCUUUGACUAGGAUGCUGGCAUAAUGAUCUUAAGUCGCCCGUCUUG
rnacentral:rRNA from 1 species